rnacentral:rRNA from 1 species
UUCCUACGGGGGGCAGCAGUGAGGAAUAUUGGUCAAUGGGCGCGAGCCUGAACCAGCCAAGUCGCGUGAGGGAUGACGGCCCUACGGGUUGUAAACCUCUUUUGUCGGGGAGCAAAUUCCGUUACGUGUAACGGAGUCGAGAGUACCCGAAGAAAAAGCAUCGGCUAACUCCGUGCCAGCAGCCGCGGUAAUACGGAGGAUGCGAGCGUUAUCCGGAUUUAUUGGGUUUAAAGGGUGCGUAGGCGGUCCGUUAAGUCAGCGGUAAAAUUGCGGGGCUCAACCCUGUCGAGCCGUUGAAACUGGCA